rnacentral:ncRNA from 1 species
GGCAACUUGCCCCCAAAGGGGGUGUGUUCUAUUGGAAAAACUACUAUCGUUGGUUAUUGCGCCUAUCUUUGUAGGUUUAGUUAUUCAACUAAUUUCUCAUUGGUUGGAUGAGAAAGACAAUGACUAAGAGCAAGUUGCUUCUAACCCACACAUUCGAAGUCGCAACG